rnacentral:misc_RNA from 1 species
UACGGAGGGUGCAAGCGUUGUCCGGAAUCACUGGGCGUAAAGGGUGCGUAGGCGGGAGCCUAAGUCUGGGGUGAAAUCUUGCCGCUUAACGGUAAAAUGGCCAUAGAUACUGGGUUUCUUGAGUACAGGAGGGGUCGGUGGAAUUCGUAGUGUAGCGGUGAAAUGCAUAGAUAUUACGAAGAACAUCAGUGGCGAAGGCGGCCGACUGGACUGUAACUGACGCUGAGGCACGAAAGCGUGGGGAGCGAACAGG